rnacentral:rRNA from 1 species
AACACGUGGGCACCUGCCCUGWAGAUUGGGAUAACUCCGGGAAACCGGGGCUAAUACCGAAUAAUCCAUUUCCUCACAUGGGGAGAUGUUAAAAGACGGUUUCGGCUGUCACUACAGGAUGGGCCCGCGGCGCAUUAGCUAGUUGGUGAGGUAACGGCUCACCAAGGCGACGAUGCGUAGCCGACCUGAGAGGGUGAUCGGCCACACUGGGACUGAGACACGGCCCAGACUCCUACGGGAGGCAGCAGUAGGGAAUCUUCCACAAUGGACGAAAGUCUGAUGGAGCAAUGCCGCGUGAGUGAAGAAGGUUUUCGGAUCGUAAAACUCUGUUGUGAGGGAAGAACAAGUACGAGAGUAACUGCUGGUACCUUGACGGUACCUCAUUAGAAAGCCACGGCUAACUACGUGCCAGCAGCCGCGGUAAUACGUAGGUGGCAAGCGUUGUCCGGAAUUAUUGGGCGUAAAGCGCGCGCAGGCGGUCCUUUAAGUCUGAUGUGAAAUCCCACGGCUCAACCGUGGAAGGUCAUUGGAAACUGGGGGACUUGAGUACAGAAGAGGAAAGCGGAAUUCCAAGUGUAGCGGUGAAAUGCGUAGAGAUUUGGAGGAACACCAGUGGCGAAGGCGGCUUUCUGGUCUGUAACUGACGCUGAGGCGCGAAAGCGUGGGGAGCAAACGUUAUUAGAUACCCUGGUAGUCCACGCCGUAAACGAUGCGCGCUUACUUUAGG